rnacentral:lncRNA from 1 species
CAAAAACAAAACAAAAGGAACUCCAGAGGCUUGUAACAAUAAGAAAAUCUCCACGAAACUUCUGCCACACCAACUGAACAUAUUGGCAGAACACAGA